rnacentral:rRNA from 1 species
UUAGAGUUUGAUCCUGGCUCAGAUUGAACGCUGGCGGCAGGCUUAACACAUGCAAGUCGAGCGGUAACAGGAAUUAGCUUGCUAAUUUGCUGACGAGCGGCGGACGGGUGAGUAACGCGUAGGAAUCUGCCUGGUAGUGGGGGACAACAUGUGGAAACGCAUGCUAAUACCGCAUACGCCCUACGGGGGAAAGGAGGGGAUCUUCGGACCUUUCGCUAUCAGAUGAGCCUGCGUGAGAUUAGCUAGUUGGUGGGGUAAAGGCUCACCAAGGCGACGAUCUCUAGCUGGUCUGAGAGGAUGAUCAGCCACACUGGGACUGAGACACGGCCCAGACUCCUACGGGAGGCAGCAGUGGGGAAUAUUGCACAAUGGGCGCAAGCCUGAUGCAGCCAUGCCGCGUGUGUGAAGAAGGCCUUCGGGUUGUAAAGCACUUUCAGUCAGGAGGAAAGGUUAGUAGUUAAUACCUGCUAGCUGUGACGUUACUGACAGAAGAAGCACCGGCUAACUCCGUGCCAGCAGCCGCGGUAAUCUC